rnacentral:rRNA from 1 species
GACGAACGCUGGCGGCGUGCUUAACACAUGCAAGUCGAACGGAGCGAAUGAAAGCUUGCUUUUAUAAGCUUAGUGGCAAACGGGUGAGUAACACGUAGGCAACCUGCCGACAGGAUGGGGACAACAUUCCGAAAAGAAUGCUAAUACCGAAUGAAGCGCAGGGGAGGCAUCUCUCCUGCGUGAAAGAUGGCCUCAUAUAUAAGCUAUCACCUGUCGAUGGGCCUGCGUCUGAUUAGCUGGUAGGUGAGGUAACGGCUCACCUAGGCGACGAUCAGUAGCCGGUCUGAGAGGAUGAACGGCCACAUUGGGCCUGAGACACGGCCCAGACUCCUACGGGAGGCAGCAGUGGGGAAUCUUCCGCAAUGGGCGCAAGCCUGACGGAGCAACGCCGCGUGAGUGAAGAAGGUCUUCGGAUCGUAAAGCUCUGUUGAUGGGGACGAACGUGCCUAAUGCGAAUAGUAUUAGGUAAUGACGGACCCAUCGAGAG